UACGUAGGGUGCGAGCGUUGUCCGGAAUUACUGGGCGUAAAGAGCUCGUAGGUGGUUUGUCGCGUCGUCUGUGAAAUUCCGGGGCUUAACCUCGGGCGUGCAGGCGAUACGGGCAAUACUUGAGUGCUGUAGGGGAGACUGGAAUUCCUGGUGUAGCGGUGAAAUGCGCAGAUAUCAGGAGGAACACCGAUGGCGAAGGCAGGUCUCUGGGCAGUUACUGACGCUGAGGAGCGAAAGCAUGGGUAGCGAACAGGAUUAGA
rnacentral:rRNA from 1 species